rnacentral:rRNA from 1 species
AUGGAGUUCGUGGCGCGGACUGGGGAAGCCGGCGGCGAGCACCCUAUCAUGGAAAGGGACAACGGCGAUGUCGCCAUGCCGAAUGUGAUCGUGCCCCUGCCACCUCCUUCUGAGGAGGCGCGAGACAAGCAGCUGGCCGACCCGCCGGCGCCACCAGCCGGAAACGAGAUGGUGAUGGGCCCGACUCCCGGGGUCCGCACACCCUUACGCCGCCGGCUCGCGAAGGCAGCCUCGGCGUCGCGCCCACUGGAGGCCGGCACCACAAGCUCCUCGAUCCCGGACACCAAGGCGACUAGCGCCGCACCCACUGGGUGGGUGUGGGUGCGGGGAGGCGGGACGGGCCCUCUGAACAAGGCGAUUCUGGACGUUCAAGCCAAACUCCGCGCCGAGGCCGACGCUCUCAAGCUCUGCAACAAGGCGUUCCUGGAGUCACGAGAGGCCGUCCGGGAUUAUCAUAACCUCCGUGCGGCCGCCUUCAACUCCAGAGUCCAGGAGUUGGAUCAACGUGCCGCCGACUUGUCGGAGAGCCGGAAGGCCAAUGCCACCCUUUAA